GACGUAGGGUGCGAGCGUUGUCCGGAUUUAUUGGGCGUAAAGAGCUCGUAGGCGGCUCGGCGCGUCGACCGUGAAAACCCGCAGCUUAACUGCGGGCUUGCGGUUGAUACGGGCGGGCUAGAGUUCGGUAGGGGAGACUGGAAUUCCUGGUGUAGCGGUGAAAUGCGCAGAUAUCAGGAGGAACACCGGUGGCGAAGGCGGGUCUCUGGGCCGAUACUGACGCUGAGGAGCGAAAGCGUGGGGAGCGAACAGG
rnacentral:rRNA from 1 species